UCUUCCUGGAGAUCCUUCUUUGGUGGGAGUCUUUCCCUGCAAGCCCAAAGUCUUCCGAUCCAGGUGAUGCUUUUGGGUUCAGUAAAGCUGCAGAUCAUUACUGUCAUAAAAAUCCCGCAACAAAUGAGAUCAGUCUCAAUUUUCAACACACCAAGAGAGAGUUUAUUCAACUAAGCAAGCAGCAAAGUGAGCAAAACAGCGCUGGGCGGCUGGGGAGUCAGCGCUCUGCCAACGGCUUGCAAUCUAAACGGGGUUCUGUGGCCAGUGUGAAAAAAAGAAAAAACAGGGAGAAGAGAAAAUGUUCCUUCCAUCUCAGUUCCACUCAUUUAAAUGCAUCUUCAGACUAGAACAAUGACAUCUCAUUUUCAACAAAGACUUUUGGAAAUUGAUCUCCUAAAAAGAUGUCAGCAAACAGACACAAUAUCCUCAUCAUUGUAUAGCAAGUGCAGUCUGGAGAAUCUGUGUGGAGAUCCUUGAAAACCUCCAAAAUUCAUUUUGGAGGCUACGGGGGAGAAGCUGGAGCUAAAGAAAGUUGUGUUCGCUGAGCCUUCUGUAAGAUAUUCACUUACAGAACAUAGUUUUGCUGCUUACAAAAUGCUUGUAGCAGAUGUGGGAUAGAGAAUUAAUAUUUUUCAAGCUUGUGAAUGCCAGAUGACUCCUCUGUUGGAAGAAAGGGGAGUUAAAGCAACUGGAUGAGGCUGGAUGGUUAAGGUCUGUGGUUUAUCUUCAGCACAUAGACACUCUGCUUGGACAAAUGCAGGUCAAGAAGCAUCAGCCUUUAUAUCCAGAAGCUCUCUACAAUUCCUCUGUUUCAGUGAGUCUAAGUUGAAAGAAAAAUAGAUCUUAAUGUCAAGUUAUUUAUUCACUACAGAAGGUGGUAAAAAGUAGUGUGACAUUUCCAUAUGCUCAUGGUGUGCCGCAGUUGCUUAACUGUGGCUGAAGGGAGAUGGAUAAGUAGGAAAUAAGCAGGAAAUGACCUAGAGCUACAGAGAAAUGAGUUCCAAGCACAGAUCGAUACAUUAAAACCCUCACAAUGAGAGGCAUGCCCUGGCAUCCCACACCUUGCCCAGCUCUGAGGACUUAGAGCUGCCUCUCUGCAUUGGGAAGGGAGUGAGCAGGCUGAUGGUGAUGUCUGCUCUUAGGGCCCUGCUGCCAUCAUUGUCUGGGAGCAUUUCAAUCUACAGACCAUUUCCCUAAGAGAUUUGUAUAAUUACACAGCAAAAAAAAAGAGUAGAGUAUUAUCACACCUGUUGUUUUGCUGCUUGGGCUGUAAGCCCUCUUAGGAAGUGGCACAGUAACUAUCAUCAUUAACCUCUGUCACCAGCAGCUUUGUUCUCAGUGGCAUUUAGCUUUAUACACUUGAGUCAAUUCCUUGAGGCUUUUGAACAAAAUCUUCCUUUGGUUAUUGCCAGUGGGAACAAAAAAAAUCAAACAAAGGCACUAGUUCUCCCUAUCAAUAGCACUGUUUUGCUUUGCAUGGAAAUUUUGGAUGAAUUCUUGACAAUAAAAAUAAUAACAAUAAUGAGUCAAUUUUGGCAUUGGAUGCUCAAAAAAAAAAGUUGUAUAGAAAUUGUACUAGAAUAUAUGUAAUUUUUCACAAGUUAACGUUCUGGUCAUAUUUCAGCUAGUCCUUUGCUUUUAACAAGCACUUGGAAACAUCACAGCUUUUUUAUUUUAAUCCAUCUGCCACUAGCUACUUUGCAAAGUGCUCCUAUGAUAAAUAGUAAAACCAGGAGCCCAUAUCCAUAGUGGUGCAGUUCAAGUAUAAAUUUUUAAGUAAAAACGACAACUUUCCAGUAAGCUUUGGUUAAUGAAAAGUAAAAGUUUCUGCAGUGUUUGUAGCCAUUAUUAGAAACUGUUUUUUGCAUGCAGCAAGAUUUCUUAUGGAAAAAAUAAAAUACUUGCUUAGGUGUGCCUUUUCGGAGUUCUCAUAUGCAGUCUUGGUGGUCUAUUGCAUUUUAUCAAAAUCAAUCACAAACUCUCCAGCCAAAAGUUUUUAUUGUUACUGAUAAAAUUGCUUUAGCAAAAAUAAAAGUAACCAGACCGAGAGAAGAAAUAGAUAUCUACAAUUUGGAAUAAUACUUUAUUUUUACAUGGGUAUACAUAUAGAAAUAUUUUUAUCUAGAAAUAUACAUAAAAGAAUAAAGACUUGGAGGUGUGAGAAGGGAGGAAAGCAAACAUACACUGGAAAUCUGAGUCAGGCUUCUCUGGACGAUACAUGACAGGAAAUGAGAAAAGCUUUUCAGGAAACUUUAGUUUCUUUGAAAUCUAGGCCUGCUAGCCUGCACUCAAGUCUCAGUUUGCAGCUAAUUUCAGUAGAAACAAAAUUGAAUAACUAAGAAAGAAUUAAGCCAACACAAUUAUUAAUGGAAUAUUUAUUAUUUUUCUAAGUGAUGAGCACAAUUGAAACACAUCAAGUCACUUAUGUUAUUUAUACAUGUAACUUGUUCAUAGAACCAUAGAAUUGUUUCAGUUUUAAGGUCAUCGAGUCCAACUCCUCUGCAGUGAACAGGCACACCUACAGCUAUAUCAGGGUUCUUAGAGCCCCAUCCAGCCUGACUUUCAGUGUCUCCAGGGACAGGGCAUCCACCAC